CUUAUAGGUGUGAAAUUUUGCCCAUAAUGACCUCAAGGCAAAACACAGCAGAAUCCACCAGCAAUUCUUUCUCUCCUUUCCCCAGAAGAGAUAUGAGGACUCAGGCUUUGAGAUGCACUGGCCAAUAGAACUAAGGUCCAGAGAGAUGAAGGGACUCAUUCAGAGAGUCACACAACCAUGAAGAAACCAAGUUUGAAGUUGAGCUAAGGUCCUCUCAUGCAAGACCACUGUCAAAUCCUGCUGGUCAAGCACACGCCACUCCCAGGACACAAACACAUUGUUGUGUCUGUGAACAGUGUCCCCCAGUGUUGUGAAGGACACACCAGUGUGGCUGUACCACACUCAAUUCACACCAUUACCAAGGUUGAACAGUUGAAUAAAGUAUUUUCUGUUAUUACUUGAAGAAGUAAAA